UGGGGAAUAUUGCACAAUGGGCGCAAGCCUGAUGCAGCCAUGCCGCGUGUGUGAAGAAGGCCUUCGGGUUGUAAAGCACUUUCAGCGAGGAGGAAGGUGGUGGACUUAAUACGUUCAUCAAUUGACGUUACUCGCAGAAGAAGCACCGGCUAACUCCGUGCCAGCAGCCGCGGUAAUGCGGAGGGUGCAAGCGUUAAUCGGAAUUACUGGGCGUAAAGCGCACGCAGGCGGUUUGUUAAGUCAGAUGUGAAAUCCCCGGGCUCAACCUGGGAACUGCAUUUGAAACUGGCAAGCUAGAGUCUCGUAGAGGGGGGUAGAAUUCCAGGUGUAGCGGUGAAAUGCGUAGAGAUCUGGAGGAAUACCGGUGGCGAAGGCGGCCCCCUGGACGAAGACUGACGCUCAGGUGCGAAAGCGUGGGGAGCAAACAGGAUUAGAUACCCUGGUAGGUCCACGCUGUAAAACGAUGUCGAUUUGGAGGUUGUGCCCUUGAGGCGUGGCUUCCGGAGCUAACGCGUUAAAUCGACCGCCUGGGGAGUACGGCCGCAAGGUUAAAACUUAAAUGAAUUGC
rnacentral:rRNA from 1 species